rnacentral:rRNA from 1 species
UACGUAGGGUGCGAGCGUUAAUCGGAAUUACUGGGCGUAAAGCGUGCGUAGGCGGUUCGUUAAGUUCGUUGUGAAAGCCCCGGGCUCAACCUGGGAAUGGCAAUGGAAACUGGCGGGCUGGAGUAUGGCAGAGGGGGGUGGAAUUCCGCGUGUAGCAGUGAAAUGCGUAGAGAUGCGGAGGAACACCGGUGGCGAAGGCGGCUCUCUGGACCGAGACUGACGCUGAGGCGCGAAAGCGUGGGGAGCAAACAGG